GGCGCGGUAGCUCAAUUUGGCAGAGCACCACCGGUGGACGGUGGAGACGAAGGUUCGUUCCCUUCCCGCGCCUCCA
rnacentral:tRNA from 1 species